rnacentral:rRNA from 1 species
GGCUGAAACUCGCCUUCAUGAAGUCGGAAUUGCCAGUAAUGGCAGGUCAGCAUACUGCCGUGAAUACGUUCCCGGGCCUUGUACACACCGCCCGUCACACCAUGAGAGUUAGGAAUACCCGAAGCCUGUGAGCCAACGCAAGAGGCAGCAGUCGAAGGUAGAACUAAUGAUUGGGGUGAAGUCGUAACAAGGUACC